CUGCGGAAGGAUCAUUACAGAGCGUGAGAUCCAGCCAGGACUCUUGUCGUGUGCUGGAUUGACCCUCCACCCGUGUCGACUUCUAUAUUUGUUGCUUUGGCGGGCCGGGCUCGCCCAUGUUCGCGAGAGCAUGGCGUGCUGCCCACCGGCUUCGGCUGGGGCGCGCCCGCCAGAGACCUAAUACCCAAACUCAUGUUGUCCCUGUAGUCUAAGGCAAGAUUUUAGAAUUGAUAAAACUUUCAACAACGGAUCUCUUGGCUCUGGCAUCGAUGAAGAACGCAGCGAAAUGCGAUAAGUAAUGUGAAUUGCAGAAUCUAGUGAAUCAUCGAAUCUUUGAACGCACAUUGCGCCCCUUGGUAUUCCGAGGGGCAUGCCUGUUCGAGCGUCAUAACACCCCCCUCAAGCUACCAUUUUGUGUGGCUACGGUGUUGGGGCUCGCCGUAUGUGGCGGCCCUUAAAAGCAGUGGCAGUGCCGACGUCGGCUUUACGCGUAGUAAAUCACUCGCGACAGAGUGGCGACGGCGACUAGCCAAAAGCACCCCUUUGACUUUAGAUCAUAGGUUGACCUCGAAUCAGGUAGGGAUACCCGCUGAACUUAAGCAUAUCA
rnacentral:rRNA from 1 species